rnacentral:lncRNA from 1 species
CCUCCUUGGCCUCUAUUUCACUUUCUUCAACAAGGGUCUUGAUCAAGCUCACCCAAGUGAAGGCGAGAGACACCACGAAGGUAGAAACAGGAGACUGAUUCUCAGACUGCUCUGUAAACCAAUGCUUGAGAUUGUCUAUCUGUUGACGGCUUAUUUUAAAGGUAGCUCUGUCCAUGUUUCUGGGCGUGGCAUGUGAGAUGUUUUUUGCAGAGUUUUGACUCCAAAAUCGCUCCAAAUGUCCUGCAGCUACCUCGCCUGGGUCCUUGAUCAUGUUUCUGCAGCCGUGAAUAGGUAGAGGGGGUAGAAGAAGUGUUGUACGUUCUCCACUGUUGGAUUUGGUCAAUG